CGAGUUGGUCGGACGGUCGCUGUUUCUUGCAAGGGGCAGAGGAAAGUCCGGACUCCGCAGGGUAACGUGCCGGAUAACGUCCGGGCAGCGCGAGCUGACAGCCAGUGCAACAGAAAAUAAACCGCCCCGUCAUUUAAGUUGUGCGGGGUAAGGGUGAAAUGGUGCGGUAAGAGCGCACCGCGUUGAUGGCAACAUUCAACGGCAAGGUAAACCUCACGUGGAGCAAAACCAAAUAGGAAUGCAUCGACACAAGUCGAAACGAUAGCCCGUCGUGCAUUCGGGUAGGUUGCUUGAGCACACGAGCAAUCAUGUGCCUAGACAAAUGAUCGUCCAAGACAGAAUCCGGCUUACAGACCAACUCUAUUU
rnacentral:RNase_P_RNA from 1 species